rnacentral:lncRNA from 1 species
GAGACAAAGAGAGAGACACAUGAAGUUUAACAAUUUGCACAAGAAGGACAUAGCUCAUUCAUCAUAGAGAGAUGAUCCAUAGAAGGAGACAAAGUACAUAAACACGAUGCACAACCGCUAAGAAAGGAAUGCUUCCACAAGGUGAUACUGUACCAUCACUCUUCAAUUAAGGUAACAUUUUAAGAUAUGUGGCUAUCACUUUUAUAAGCUUUUCAUUGGUUCUAGCGUUCACAUAAAUAAAGAGACAAACAUGUAUGAUUUAUAACUCCAAAUUAACCAACCCAACUGAUUCAGCAUGUUCAGUCCUUUAAUCUUUGUUCCUAGUACUACCUCCAUGAUCCCACACUCCUAAUCAUAUGAGCUAAAAUGUUGCACAUUCAAUCUUUGAGAGAUAUAAAGAAAAAGACAUAUACAUAGAGAGAUUAUCUUUCCAUAAGUUUGAGCGAUCUGAUCUGACAAAUGUUAUAAGUGCUACACUCAUGAACUUAUCAUCCAUCAACUUUGUCUUGCUCACUACACUUAAGGUUAGAGAAGAACAAAUACACUUUUGGUUCUGUUGGUGUUUUCCACCAACAGAGCCCAUGCACUUGAUCUCUGCCUUGUCUCUAUGAGCAGGUACACUUCGAGCAAAAUAUGGAGGAGUUUUACAACUCCCAGACUCCACCAAGUGAAGAACCUGGAUCUACGAGCACAAACACACUGAGCAAGAUACUGCCAAAGCCGCACUUUGAACUGCUAGGCAAACGAAGAACAUGGGUGACACCGUAUCAAGAGGUGCAGACGUCAAGGUCCACACCUGAAUCAAAUGACACACCUAAAGAAUGAACACGGUGAGAAGUCUUGUUCAGAAGACUUAAAACAUUGAACCCUUGCCGAAAGGUAAAAUUGGUAGUUAUCCAUAUUUAUCCUUUUUGCAUUACUUAAAUUAUUUACUUUCCUUAAAUAGCUUGUAAGUUGAUUAUGCUAUCUUGAAAAGAAAAUAAAAAAUGUUAAAAAUAGUAAGCCCCAUGUGAGUAUGCUCCUGGCAUAAAACCCAUAAGUAAAUUCACUAUGGCGGCGUAAAAAUAAAAUAAAUAUAUUCCUGUCCUAUAAAAAUGAAAAUAUAAAAAUAAAUUUAUGAUCCUACCAUAGAGAGUAACAUUUAUUAAGGAGGCUCAACAUGAUAAAGGCUAGAUAUUUAUGCUAACACUUAACUUGUUCCACAAAGCUUUAUUGUCUAUUUGAGCUCCACAAAAUUCAAAGAUCAAAGAAGACUAGCAGACGGAGGACAUCCUAAUCGUUGUCAGGGUACUGCCAACAUUCAAAUACACCUCUGCCACCAGCUAGCUACAUCAGAAGAAAUUACAUCAAAAUCCAGCUUGGGGGAGAGCACUUCCAUUUAUCUAGCUAAGUGUAUCUACUCGCGUUUAUACUUUACUCAAAUAAUAAAAAGAUGCAUAAUCAUAAAAACCCAAAUAAAGAUUUUAUGCUUAUAUAUAUAUAUAUAUAUCUUUGCUUAGUUUGCUAAAUAAAUAAAUAAAGUUUGCUAUCAACCCUCAUGAUAAGUUCUCAAAUGGAAAUAAUGAAUAGUUGCUCUGCCAUGACUAGUUCUCAAAAAUUGAAAUCUCUCUCAAGUUUAGGCAUGACUGUUAUGAAUUAAGAUUUUCUCUAAACCUGAACUUGUGGGAAGAGUACUUGAUCUCAAGUCUAAGUCGUUAAAGGAUACGAUAUGGGGAGGUUGAGCUGCUGUUUAUCUGUUCCUAGAGAUGCUAAAAUUCUGGAGAAUUUUAUCUUUGAAAAUCUUUAAAAUGUUGCAUGAUGAGUUCCUGUAUGAUGAUAGUUUUAAAUCCUACCACAGCCACAUAUACAUGCUUAUUAGACUAUGAACCAUACAUUUACUUUUUACUGCUUAUGAGCAUUGAGUGUGGUCAAGCUGUGUAGACCCUUAGGAGCUUGUCAUGCGGUUAAAAUCACGAUUCACUUGCACGUUCACUCAUACAUGUUGCUUCUACUCCGGAAGUACGCAUCCACAUACAUCCACUCAUUUCCAUCUCCAGAUUCACCCAAAAUUAUUUUACUCCUAUCCAGGAGAGAAUAGCCAAAAACAUUAUCCUAUCCCUGUUAUUCCUCGUGAAAUAAAUGC